ACAGCCAUAUCACAUUCACGCACCAAUUCUCAUACAAUCACCAAAGUUAAGCAAUGUUGAGACUGGUCAGUACCUAUAUGGGUGACAACUUGGGAAUACCAGGUGCUGAAA